ACCUGGUGCUGAGUUCCACGGCUGGCUUCUCUGAGCCAUUUGAGCAUUCGCUUCCUUUAAGGCUAAUGACUUGGGAAAUGGAUGGAGCGGAAGAGCUGAGGUCAUGUCUGAGAAACGAGGCCAGGGAUAUGAAGAGAAGCUACCAUAUUUGCCAAAGUUUUCAACCUAUACCUCUCCUGGUUGCCAGCAGAAUGAUCCCUCCCCAGCUGUUUCCUUUUCCUACAAACCUGCCUCAUUCUAAAUAAAAGGAGGCCUCUCCCCGCAGAAACGCCA